GGGGUCGUGGCCAAGCCAGGCAUGGCGACUGACUCCAGAGGCAUACCCGCCCGGGACGACACUCCAGCUGAUAUACUGAUCGAGUGGCUGAUCACCGCUCGUGUGAUGACCCUCUGGAGUUCCGAGGUGGGUCCGGAGAUAUCAGUCAAUCGGGGGUUCAAAUCCCUCCGACCCCA
rnacentral:tRNA from 1 species